GACCGCGUAGCUCAGUUGGCAGAGCAUUGGGCUAGUAUUCCAAAGGUCGUAGGUUCGUUUCCCACCGUGGCCA
rnacentral:tRNA from 1 species